rnacentral:misc_RNA from 1 species
GGAAGUAAAAGUCGUAGCAAGGUCUCCGUUGGUGAACCAGCGGAGGGAUCAUUACCGAGUUUACAACUCCCAAACCCCUGUGAACAUACCUGUUUUGUUGCUUCGGCGGUGCCCUCGCCCUCGCGGCGAGGCCCGCCAGAGGACCCAAACAAACUCUUUGACUUUGAUCUAGGAUUAUACUUCUGGGUGAUACAAAAAAUAAAAUCAAAACUUUCAACAACGGAUCUCUUGGUUCUG